ACCAGGCCUAAACCUACAUCUUGAUGGGUCCUGGCCUGCAGACCUGAUGACUGAGAUGACAGACCUCACCAGUGACCUAGAGGCCAGUGGGAUUCCCUUCCUGGAUUACCGAACAUAUGCUGAGCGUGCUUUCUUCCCUGGCCAUGUUGGCUGCCCACUGCAGCCAGGGCUCGAGGGGCCUGGGGAAGAGGGUCGCCGUGUCACCGUGUGCCAGGGUCUCACACAACUCUCCAAUUUGCUCAACAGCAAGCUCUUCCUUCUCACAGUGAGAGCCACAUGGAUGGUGGGGACAGGCAGGGCAGGGGAGUCUAAAGUGGUAGGGAGGUGGGGCUGGGGACUGGCCAGACCCAGGUAGAGAUAUGGUCGCAGAAAGAGGGAGGGUAUGGUGCUUUGGAGAAUGAAUACCAACUCCCUGUUUAGCUCAUCCACACCUUAGAGGAGCAGCCAAGCUUUUCCCAGAGGGACCGCUGCCAUGUGGCUUCACUACUUUCUCUGGCUCUGCACAGCAAGCUUGAAUAUUU
rnacentral:lncRNA from 1 species